rnacentral:rRNA from 1 species
UCAGCCGCCGCGGUAAUACCAGCACCUCGAGUGGUUAGGAGGUUUAUUGGGCCUAAAGCAUCCGUAGCCGGCUAUGCAAGUCUCCGGUCAAAUCCAACUGCUUAACAGAUGGGCCGCCGGAGAUACUACAUAGCUAGGGAGCGGGAGAGGUAGACGGUACUCUGUGGGUAGGGGUAAAAUCCACUGAUCCAUAGAAGACCACCAGUGGCGAAGGCGGUCUACCAGAACGCGUUCGACGGUGAGGGAUGAAAGCUGGGGGAGCAAACCGGAUUAGAUACCCGGGUAGUCCCAGCUGUAAACGAUGCAAACUCGGUGAUGCACCGGCUUAAUGCCGGCGCAGUGCCGCAGGGAAGCCGUUAAGUUUGCCGCCUGGGAAGUACGGACGCAAGUCUGAAACUUAAAGGAAUUGGCGGGGGAGCAC